rnacentral:rRNA from 1 species
AUGUACAAAAGCCUCAAAGGGCAUCAGGCUCUUUGUGAUGUGCUUAAAAAGCAGAUCCUCAAUAGGAACCCUAGGAAAGAGGGUAUCACCUUUGAGAGGAAACUCAAUGUUGAUGGUACAUAUUGGAAGCCUGAGCAGUACCCCAAAACUACAUGGGUUGCUGCAAAGGGACCUCCAGUUGAUCCAUCUAACUUAUCUAGAUUUGCAUGUGAAUCUCCUCAUUCUGAUGAUGAGUCAAUUGACUCCAACUAUAAGUUAUUCAAAAAUCAGAAUGGUGAAGUAAUUGGUAGAUAUGUUGGCACUAACUGUAGGAACGGCUUCCCUAUGAAGAAAAUAUGGGUUCCCAAAAGAUGCCUUGAAAAUCUUUAG